AUAUAUAAAGUAAAAUUUUACAUUUAAUUUCGACUUAAAUUUUGAUUAUAUUAUUAAUCUAUAUAUU
rnacentral:tRNA from 1 species